rnacentral:rRNA from 1 species
UAAGUCCCGCAACGAGCGCAACCCCUAUUUUUAGUUGCCUUUAUGGAACUCUAGAAAGACUGCUGGUUAUAAACCGGAGGAAGGCGGGGAUGACGUCAAGUCAGCAUGCCCCUUACACCCUGGGCUACACACGUGCUACAUUGGGCGAGACAAUGAGACGCAAAUCUGUGAAGACUAGCUAAUCUAUAAACUCGUUCUAAGUUCGGAUUGUAGGCUGCAACUCGCCUACAUGAAGUUGGAAUCGCUAGUAAUCGCUGGUCAGCUACACAGCGGUGAAUCCGUUCCCGGGCCUUGUACACACCG